rnacentral:rRNA from 1 species
AUUGAACGCUGGCGGCAUGCUUUACACAUGCAAGUCGAACGGUAACAGGCCGCAAGGUGCUGACGAGUGGCGAACGGGUGAGUAAUGCAUCGGAACGUGCCCAGUCGUGGGGGAUAACGCAGCGAAAGCUGCGCUAAUACCGCAUACGAUCUGUGGAUGAAAGCGGGGGACCGUAAGGCCUCGCGCGAUUGGAGCGGCCGAUGUCAGAUUAGGUAGUUGGUGGGGUAAAAGCUCACCAAGCCGACGAUCUGUAGCUGGUCUGAGAGGACGACCAGCCACCCUGGGACUGAGACACGGCCGAGACCCCUACGGGAGGCAGCAGUGGGGAAUUUUGGACAAUGGGCGCAAGCCUGAUCCAGCAAUGCCGCGUGCAGGAAGAAGGCCUUCGGGUUGUAAACUGCUUUUGUACGGAACGAAACGGUCCUGGUUAAUACCCGGGGCUAAUGACGGUACCGUAAGAAUAAGCACCGGCUAACUACGUGCCAGCCGCCGCCGUAACAC